rnacentral:lncRNA from 1 species
CAGAAUAUUACCAUGUUUCAUUAGAGGUUUUAUGCACAUAUAAAUACAUGAUCUUUCAAAUUCAAACUUCACCUCUUCCAAUCAAACUCUUAGAAUUUUCAGAAUUCACAUUUCUUGUUAUCAACUUUCAUUCAAGAUAUUUUCUGCAUAUUUUCAUAUCAUUCAAACUAGAAAAUACUUGAGCAAUCUAACAUCUUUGUGUUUGUGAAUUAUUGUCAUUGGAAAAGAAGAUAGAAAAUACUUGAGCAAUCUAACAUCUUUGUGUUUGUGAAUUAUUGUCAUUGGAAAAGAAGAUCAAGUAAAUUGAUAUAUCACUUAGUGUGAUCAUUAUACUACAAACUUUACAUUCAAAAAACCAUUUUUGUAAUCCAUGUCUUAUUUUUCAUAGUUGUUAAAAAUAAGAUUGUUUGUUUUGUAAACACCUUGUUGUCCAAGAUUGUUGGAAGCAAGAGAGUUGAGUUUGAGAGGAUUGUUCGCAUAUCAACUUGGUAAAUCACAAGAGGUUACUCUUAGUGAUUGUGUAUGUCUUGUACAAGUCAUAAUAGAUAGUAAAAUCUCUUUCGCAUUGAAAGGGGACUGGAGUACUGUCGUAUCCCAAAAUUUGCCCUCAUUUUCGCUUUUUCAUCUGACUAUAACUUGAUAUCCAUCUAACCUCAUUCAUACUCAUUCACGUGCAUUAAUUCAUUAAUGACCAGCAUUUUCUAGCAGGUAUCAUGGAUUCAGAGUUUGUGGUUGAUAAAAUCAGAGUUGGAUUGAAGUUUAUGGCAUUGCACAACCUCUUGAUUCCAAGCAGAAUUUCCAGCUUCAAUCACCUACAAUCAAUUUCAAGUAGGAGAAGAUAACAGUGUAAAAGUAAUUGCAAAAAAAACUCUCAAAACAGAACCUAACAGAAUUUAAGGCCCACCUCAACUUUCAACCGAACCGCAACUACAACAACCAAUCCUCAAUAACCAAACUUCGAACCUUUUAACUAACUUUCAUAACCACUUGUAAUCAACUGUCAUGACAGAAGGAGAACUAACUUCAAAUCUACAUCACAAUACCGCCAACUUGCAUAAAAACCAGAACUGAAUAAGCCAACCAAAAACAACUCCCAUUCCCUAACCUACCAAUUCGUAAAUGAAAACCAUUUUCAAAACUCCAAAAAAAACAAGCAACCAAACAUACCAUUGUCAAUCCAACUAACCCCUAAUAGUUCCAGCAUAUCCCUAAUAUAGUCAACAAUUCAAAUAAUGACAAAGUUGAUUUAAAACCAUUUCGCAACAUGAUGAUCAACGAACAAGAAAAGUCGUUCACAACAUGGCAAGCAUUUUAGUCAAUUCUAUAAUCGCAAUUUAACAUGCUUCACUAACCGUGUAAAUAAGACAAUUCAACAACCGUUUCAUCAAGACAACUUUUAACAUAUUAAAUUUGAAGCCAAUGAUGCACGCUGUAAAUAACAUUCAACUGGUUUUUAGCAGAGAUUUUCUAAUUGAAUUAAAACUAACAAUAACAACUAACUAUAACUAAUCCUAUUAAUAGUUCAACCGAGUUUCUAACUAACUAACCUAACUAUUUUAGCAUAAGAGUAACUGUUCCUUUAACCUCCUAACUAACUCGAAUUAACCCUCUAACAAAUUCAUAACAAUCUAACAGAAUUUUCUAACAACUCCUAACAGAAAUUCAUGCCAACUCAUAACAGCAUAUAACAGAAUUACUGAUCCAGAAUGGGAGGGGAAAGAGGUUCAGAAAUCUAUAAAGGUAUACCUUCACUCCCUCUCCUUGGGGACAUUCCAUAUUCUCGCCACCUUCACUCUCUCAUAUUUUCUUCCAUCUUUUCUUCACCCUCAACCAAGCUCCAAUUCCAUUCUCCAUCACCUUCAAUCGAGUUCUCAACCUCCAACAGAACGCGAACCGAGCUCUCACCACCCUCAACCUUUCGCUAUCGUCCUCAACUCUCCAAUGCUCCUAACUGAAAAAGAUCCUAACCACCAUCAAAAACAGAAGAGAUAAUAGAGUUUCAGCAAAACCAAAAAUCAUCGCAGAGACGUCAUCACAAUCACUCACGCAACAGAGAAUUCGAGGAGAAGAGGAAGUGACUCUAGAAAGAAGAAGUAACAACCGUUACCUCUGAACGCGCGUCGACUCUGAAGAACCAUGGUGUCAAAUUUCGGUACGUGUAAAUUGACUUCAAAUUGUCAAACGCAUUCAACCAUGAGUUCUGUUACGCACGAACUUCGAUACGACUUCGCAUGUACAUCGGCGACGAAGCUCCGGUAAAGACGUAAAACACGCAACAUUUGUAAGACACCGUCGAUGAACUUGGUUUAGGAUUUUCGAUUUUAGAUGUGUGUUGUUCUGCGUUUCUUCGAUCGAACAAUUGGAAUUGAAAGGGGAGAAGGAUUCGUAUCGUGCUUCUCUUUCACGCUGGAUCGAUUGUGAAUGCACUCGGCGUCAUGUUCGCGUGGAUUGGGAUUAGGGCUCCAUUUCUGGAUCAUCCGAAGCUUGAUUCUGUUUGUGCCUGGGGCCCAAACGAUUUCCAACACCCCCACGCGUGGGCUCGC